rnacentral:rRNA from 1 species
CCUGAUCCAGCAAUGCCGCGUGUGUGAAGAAGGCCUUUCGGGUUGUAAAGCACUUUUGUCCGGAAAGAAAUCCUUGGCUCUAAUACAGUCGGGGGAUGACGGUACCGGAAGAAUAAGCACCGGCUAACUACGUGCCAGCAGCCGCGGUAAUACGUAGGGUGCGAGCGUUAAUCGGAAUUACUGGGCGUAAAGCGUGCGCAGGCGGUUUGCUAAGACCGAUGUGAAAUCCCCGGGCUCAACCUGGGAACUGCAUUGGUGACUGGCAGGCUAGAGUAUGGCAGAGGGGGGUAGAAUUCCACGUGUAGCAGUGAAAUGCGUAGAGAUGUGGAGGAAUACCGAUGGCGAAGGCAGCCCCCUGGGCCAAUACUGACGCUCAUGCACGAAAGCGUGGGGAGCAAACAGGAUUAGAUACCCUGGUAGUCCACGCCCUAAACGAUGUCAACUAGUUGUUGGGGAUUCAUUUCCUUAGUAACGUAGCUAACGCGUGAAGUUGACCGCCUGGGGAGUACGGUCGCAAGAUUAAAACUCAAAGGAAUUGACGGGGACCCGCACAAGCGGUGGAUGAUGUGGAUUAAUUCGAUGCAACGCGAAAAACCUUACCUACCCUUGACAUGGUCGGAAUCCUGCUGAGAG